rnacentral:rRNA from 1 species
GAUGAACGCUAGCGGCAGGCUUAAUACAUGCAAGUCGAGGGGCAGCAUAGGGUAGCAAUACUUGGGUGGCGACCGGCAAACGGGUGCGGAACACGUACACAACCUUCCUUUUGGUGGAGGAUAGCCCAGGGAAACUUGGAUUAAUACCCCAUAAUACACUGGUUCUGCAUGGGAUUGAUGUUAAAGAUUUAUUGCCGAAAGAUGGGUGUGCGUAUGAUUAGCUAGUUGGUGAGGUAACGGCUCACCAAGGCGACGAUCAUUAACUGGUGUGAGAGCACGACCAGUCACACGGGCACUGAGACACGGGCCCGACUCCUACGGGAGGCAGCAGUAAGGAAUAUUGGUCAAUGGACGGAAGUCUGAACCAGCCAUGCCGCGUGGAGGAUGAAGGUCCUCUGGAUUGUAAACUUCUUUUAUCAGGGGCGAAAAAAGGGAAUUCUUUCUCGUCUGACGGUACCUGAUGAAUAAGCACCGGCUAACUCCGUGCCAGCAGCCGCCGUAACAC